rnacentral:rRNA from 1 species
ACGGGUGAGUAACACGUAUGCAAUCCACCUGUAACAGGGGAGUAACCGGAGAAAUCCGGACUAAUACCCCAUAAUAUGGGCGCUCCGCAUGGAGAGUCCAUUAAAGAGAGCAAUCUUGGUUACAGACGAGCAUGCGCUCCAUUAGCCAGUUGGCGGGGUAACGGCCCACCAAGGCGACGAUGGAUAGGGGUUCUGAGAGGAAGGUCCCCCACAUUGGAACUGAGACACGGUCCAA